UACAGAGGGGGGCAAGCGUUUGUUCGGAAUUACUGGGCGUAAAGGGCGCGUAGGCGGCCUGUUAAGUCGAACGUGAAAUCCCCGGGCUCAACCCGGGAACUGCGUCCGAUACUGGCAGGCUUGAAUCCGGGGAGAGGGAUGCGGAAUUCCAGGUGUAGCGGUGAAAUGCGUAGAUAUCUGGAGGAACACCGGUGGCGAAGGCGGCAUCCUGGACCGGCAUUGACGCUGAGGCGCGAAAGCCAGGGGAGCAAACAGGG
rnacentral:rRNA from 1 species